UGUGCUGCUGGCUCGACCUGGCCUGGCCCGGGCUCCCGCCACAGCCACCCUUCCCCACCCCUGCAAUUUACAAGCCUUCCGCCAUCAUGGAAAUCUGAAAUCCCACGAAAGAACAGUAAACAUCGCAGGGAAAAGAAAAUACCUAGCCAGGCCGCGCUGGACAGCAGAGUCACAAAUGGACAGAGGUCUCUGAGCCAGGGAUGAAGGCGUCUAGGCAACAACAGGGAGCUGGCCUUCACGCCCGAGCUCAGCUGGGUAAGAACAAAGAGAUGUACACACAGAUGUGCCAAUCCUUCAUGGGGCUUAGCCAAGCAUCCCGGUGCCCUGGGAAUUCCCAGGCUCGAAGACGCAGCCAGAAUGUCAGAGAAACUCACAAGUAAACACAGGUGUCAGGUUUAGAGACCAUGUGGAAACGUGAAUGUUUUAAAUAACGGAAAGAAGCUAAAUAUCAUUUAGACCACAAAUGAAGUCAGAAUCAGCUUUGUCACCUUCUCGUGGGCUCCCCUGAGAGGGAGUACGGUGUAGGGGAAAGAGCAGGGGCUUGGGGUUCAGCUGAACGGCUUCGAAGGCUGGCUGCAUCGCACGCAUAUGGGCCAGCCGCGUGACUCAGGCCAAGUCAUUCUCUGAAGCUCCGGUUUGCUCUCCAUCCCAUGGGAAAUAACAACUCUUCAGAAGGCUGUGAAGAGUAACAAGAUUUACAGACAGAGGGCCUGGGCCUGGCAUUCAGCAGAGCUUCUACGGCAGCACCUUCUGCCUGAUUGAUGAAGGUCGGCUGGCGAUCUCUCUCGCUCAUCUCACAGAACACCUGUGUGAGCAGCGAAGAUCAAAACCAAAAGUAUGAGCAGACUUCGUAAAGAAACGGAAUGAAGAAACGCGGAGAGGGCAGAAAAGACUGGAUGUACAGAGGGGGUUCAUGCUCCUCUCAAGAGCUCCCCACAGAGAAGGACUUCCUCCUGCAUCCCCACCUCUGCAUUGGGCACCCAGUUUUAUUUAGCAUGGGACCCUCACCUUGAGCUACAGAUCCCUGGGGUGAGUGGGGUGUUAAAAAGAGAAGAGGCACAGAGAUCUCUCAACCUCUGGAAACAAUUUGGUGGCCUCCUAACAGAAGACUAAGAUAAUGCUGACCAAACACAUGAUCGAUCUGUAUAAGAAAGACCUCAUAUCUAGACGAAAAUGACGGACUGGUAAUUGAACCCUACGGAAAACAUCCCCUCCUUUUCUUUCUUUACCUCAGUAAGUCAUCUAGAGCUGCCACUGAAGACUUAGAAUCACCACCCUGCAGGAAAAUCAUCCAGGCUGUUAAUUUCGCCUCUUGGCUAUACCAUUUAGCAUGAAAAUCACCGAACCUUGGCACCAGGAAAGAAACUUCUAAUCAGUCAGUUCGAACUUCCACCCAAGCACUGGAGCUCCCUGGCAUGACCUGGCAACUGAGAUCAGAUUGUUCCUUACUGCCUGAAAUUUCCUUGAGAAUUCCUUUUUCCAGGUUCACCUGGUGGCUCCGACAGUCGGGCGUUAGACUCUCAGUUUCGGCUCAGGUUGGGAUCACACAGUUGUGGGACGCAGCCCUGCACUGGGCUCUGCGCUCAGCGUGGAAUCUGCUGGAGAUUCUCUCUCCCUCUGCCUCUGCCCCUCUUCCUGCUCAUACUCUCUCUCUCUCUUACUCAAAAUAAAUAAAUAAAAUCUUUUUAAAAAAUUCUAUUCCUCCCCACGAACAGGUUCAGGACCUCUAUGUCCCUUAAGAAAUAACUCCAACUCACUGGGCCUUACAGUUCUAGAACAUUGCUAUUCAAAGUGUGGUCGGCAAACUGGGGCUGCUCCAUAUACUCUAUGCAGCUAGCCCAUGAUGAGGGAAGUGUGGAAAUUGAAUAAAAUAAGCAUUUACAAAC